rnacentral:rRNA from 1 species
GACCGGCUUCUAACUGUCCGCAAGGACAAAUUUGACCAAUAUUGACCUCAAAUCAGGUAGGACUACCCGCUGAACUUAAGCAUAUCAAUAAGCGGAGGA